rnacentral:lncRNA from 1 species
UGUGUUCAAGCACAAGUUUGAAUGACAGAAAGAAGCUUGCUAUAAGAUUGAAGUGCCGGACUUGAACAUUUCCUGCAAAAUCCAUUUCAUUAAUGGGCGAUUUUUUUAUUUUAAAAUCAGCAUAUAUAAAUGUUUUUUUCUUAUAUUUAUAACACAAAGAGGUGCCUUUGUCUGCAUUAUCUUAUUCAUGUUUCUUUAAAGGUGUUUUUUGUUUCAAUUUCUGAAUCCUUGGAUCUGAGAUGUUUCCAGACUAGCAGGAGCAACGCUAUUGGCACCAGUUAUCAACUAUUGGUGGCCUGGCUUUCCUGCCAAUUUAUCUACAGAAGCAUACUACCAGCAGCUUCCCCAAGACCAAUGGGCCCUGCGUGUUGCUCACUAUCUCCCAUUCUUGGUCUAUUGGUGGAACACUCAAAAGCUUUUUCCCGCAUCCGCUGUACAAGCCCGUAGACGUGAAAUUUUCUCCCCUCAGGAUAUCCAACUCCUACCUAAAAUCGCUUAUAGAGAAAAUCACAGGGUAGCUAACUUCCCUCUACCAUUUUCCCUUUUUUGUUUCCGUAGCAACUUUCUUUUCUGUUAAGAUAAGGAAGAAGAUCCUACAAAUAGCGUUCACUGAUGCGUGUGAAUGGUCAUUGAGGAAAACUUGAAGAUGGAAAACCAAUUUGGUGAUACUGUUGGCCUAAAUGGUUGUGUUACUGUUAUCAAAAUCUAAAAUUAGAAUUGACCGCUUGAUCUUAUUCUAUGCAGGCAGUUGUAAGUCAGCAAGGAGUAUUUGAGUCCUUGCAUCGUGACAUGAGGAUUGGUUUUGGGAAGUGGGAAUUCGAUCCCCUUGAUCUCGAGUCUCCUUUCCCAAACAAUGAAGGCUCUGUUCACCUUUGGAUGGGGGAUGAGGACGGCUUUGUACCAGUUAUCCUUCAACGCUACAUUGCCAAAAGACUUCCAUGGAUUCAGUACCACGAAUUACCAGGUGCUGGCCAUUUGUUUCCAUAUGCUGAUGGAAUGAGUGAAGCUAUCAUAAGGGCCCUUCUGGUUGGACAGAAGUAGCCACCUCCAGCGAAACAGGGCAGGAUGAUCCUGCUGUUUUUAGCAUUGUAUUACCUUCAAAAACAUUCCUUACGAACACAAAUAUUUGACAACAGUUUUCUUUAUAUUUAAUUGGUAUUAAAUUGAUAUAUUGACCGGCUUUUAGACAUUGUUUCAUAACUUGUGCAUUCUAGCUCAUUAUGGCUCAACUCGAUUCAGUAAGAAAAGUUUAAAGCCGCAUGAUGCGUGCUGAAGUUACUUUACUCGUGACAGAAGAAGCUCAUCCCUGCUAAAUAUAGACACCAAAGAAGAUGGGAUCUCUCGACCCACCCUUCUGUUGGCAACCCACUAAACAACCCUAUUAACCAUAAGGCUUAACAUGGUGCAUUUUUACAUCUUCAAAACUGUCUAAUGAUUUUGCAAUCUCAUAAGAUUGGAUCAAUUUUUCGAUAUAUUUUCAAACUUGACUUUAAUAAAACCUUGUGUUUUAGGCCAACCAUGGAACUUCUUUUAAAGCCGAUGCUUCAACCAUUACAACCAUUGUAGUUUUUGUUUCUCUUCCUAUCCCAACCAAUCAUCUGGCCAUGGUGAUUCCCUGCUACAAUGCUAAUUGCAAUUAUGCUUCGCUUCUCAGAUACUUACCCAUCACAAUUCACUUCUUUUCAUCCUAGGCUCAGAUAAGACCAUUGAACAACAAACUUGCUAACUUCGUCAUAACUCUUUCUUCUUGUAGAGAGACUUUUAGAAAUUGAGCUACUUAAGGCAACUUUACUAAUGGCAUGCAAUUAAUUACAAGAAUAAAGUCCAAAACUAUGGUUUAGAGUUUCAACUACCUAGUCUAUUAAACCAUCAAGAUUAAGCAACUAAUCAUGAACAGAAGCAAAGUGAAGAUACUUUAUGCUCUGGGAAAAAAUGAAACGUUCUGAGCUCAAGCUUAUAUUAUUUCAUUUGAUUUUCCAGACAUUAAUUCAGUACCGAUUAUUUGGAGAAGAUAAUUUUGUCCCUUUUUUUUUUUUAAAUACAGUUGCUUUUAUGGGCCUGUAUUUUAGUAAUUUAAGUAUUCUCUGGCUGUCAGAUUUAUGAUAAUUUUAAUAAGCUGUUUCUUUUAUUAUUAUUAUUAUUAUUACCUGUUUCCUGAAAUUUUGAUAUGCUGUUGAUUCAUCCCAAAAUCUGUUCUAACCAAUAUCCUACCGACAGUAUCAUUGCAGAUCACUUUGAAAACUUUUUUCAGGGAUGCACAAGGGAAUUACACUCAUCUUGUUAAUUGGUUUGCUGGCAUGGACAUAUCAGGCCAUCCAGCCUCCACCUCCCAAGGUCUGUGGAUCUCCUGGUAGUCCUCCUGUUACAGCAACUAGAAUAAAACUGAGGGAUGGAAGGCAUUUGGCCUACAAGGAACAUGGUCUAUCAAAAGAAAUGGCCAAACAAAAGAUCAUCUUUGUUCAUGGCUUUGCCAGUUGCAGACAUGAUGAAGUCAUUGUGGCGUACCUCCCCCCGGUACUUAUUUCUUUCUCUUGAUUUUACUGUCUAAUAAUCAUUGAAUUAACUAAUUUAAUCCUGGAUGCCUCAUUUCAGGAAGUUGUUGAGGAACUAGGGGUAUACAGUGUGUCCUUUGAUAAACCAGGGUAUGGAGAAAGUGAUCCUGAUCCAAGGCGAACGCUAAAGAGUUUGGCCCUUGACAUCGAAGAGCUUGCUGAUCAGUUGAGACUUGGACCCAAAUUUUAUAUAAUUGGAAUUUCUAUGGGAGGCCAAUCUGUGUGGGGCUGCCUAAAGUACAUACCUCAUAGGUAAGAUGUGUUCAAGCACAAGUUUGAAUGAAAGAAAGAAGCUUGCUAUGAGAUUGAAAUGCUGGACUUGAGCAUUCCCUGCAAAAUCCAUUUCAUUAAUGGGCGAUUUUUUUAUUUUGAAAUCAGCAUAUAUAAAUGUUUUUUUCUUAUAUUUAUAACACAAAGAGGUGCCUUUUUCUACAUUAUCUUGUUCAUGUUUCUUUGAAGGUGUUACUUGUUUCAAUUUCUGAAUCCUUGCAUCUGAGGUGUUUCCAGACUAGCAGGAGCAACGCUACUGGCACCAGUUAUCAACUAUUGGUGGCCUGGCUUUCCCGCCAACUUAUCUACAGAAGCAUACUACCAGCAGCUUCCUCAAGACCAAUGGGCCCUGCGUGUUGCUCACUAUCUCCCAUUCUUGGUCUAUUGGUGGAACACUCAAAAGCUUGUUCCUGCAUCCGCUGUACAAGCCCGUAGACCUGAAAUUUUCUCCCCUCAAGAUAUCCAACUCCUACCUAAAAUUGCUUAUAGACACAAUCACAAGGUAGCUAACUUUCUUCUACCAUUUU